ACCGUUGAGAUCCUAAAAGAACUGCCUCCUUCACAAGACAAGACAGAGAUCGGCCGGGAAGAAGAUUCUCUGGUGGUGGAGGAGGCAACAUCAGCUGGGCGAGGCGGUUGGCCCAACAGGUUCAACUACACGAACUGAAGCUUGAAAUUUGAAACAUGAGAACCUGAAAUACCUCUCCAGACUUGCAUCUCCGAUCCUGAGCACGGUGCGGUUGACGGUGGACCAGCUAGUGGAGCCGGCGGAGCCAGACUCGUCGCCGACCCAGCGGAUGUCGGGGCCGGCGUCGGAAAAGAUGUUGAUGGAGCUCUGCAGCUGCUUCACCGUCUCAAACCAGUCCUUGAAGUAGUAGUUCAUCUUCUUCGCCUUCUCCCCCUUGGCGCCGUCGAACCA